AACAAUUUUGUUCUAAACUUCAACCACACCACAUACGUUUAUGUUUUCACAAUAAAUCAAAGAUCAAAAACUUGUGUCUUAAUAUAGCACAAAACUCUUCUUAUAAAUUCUUAGGGUUCAACCCCAAUUAUCAUCAUCACAUUAAUGAAAAAAAUGAGUACUUCUCAAAAAUUGAUAGUCUUCUUCCUCGUGACACUUCUCGUGUGCUCUCUCAUGCUCGAGGUGACAGAAGCGUCGGACCCGAUAAGAAUGGUUAGUAGGAAGAAGAAUGGGAUUUUCGGGAUUUUCGGUUCAUCCCCAAAGAAAUGUGACAACCCUAGAGAUUGUCCCGGAAGCAUGAUAAAUCCUUAAUGAAGGCACAGCCCUAGAAAUUGUUGGUGGUGUGGUUAUGUUAUACGAAUGAAUAAACAACUAGGCAUGAGUUUGCCUAGGGGGUUUUAUUUAAUAAGAAUAGUUAGACCACAUUGUAAGUGACAUAAAUCUUGUCCCACUUGUGUAUAUUGCAAAAAAAAUAAUUAUUAUAAUAAUAAUAAAUUCUCUUGAUUUUUUUGGAUCCGGU
rnacentral:lncRNA from 1 species